rnacentral:rRNA from 1 species
AUGUGUGCCCCAAAGGACAGAGGUGGAAUGUGAUUUUGUGACGUGCAUAUCUUUAACUUGGCAAUGCUAGCCAAACAAUGUUGGAGACUCAUAGAGCACCAUGAUUCAUUAUGUGCAAGGGUGCUUUCCAAGUAUUACCCAUCCGAUGAGUUUCUCAACUGCAAGUUAAAGAAAGGUGCAUCUUAUGUUUGGCAAAGUAUUUGGGAUGGAGUUCAAACUUUCAAAAAAGAGAAUACUUGGAGGGUUGGCAAUGAUUUGAAGAUAAUAUUUGGGAGGAUUGUUUGA